rnacentral:rRNA from 1 species
AGAGUUUGAUCCUGGCUCAGAACGAACGCUGGCGGCAGGCCUAACACAUGCAAGUCGAGCGCACCUUCGGGUGAGCGGCGGACGGGUGAGUAUCGCGUGGGAACGUGCCCUUCUCUACGGAAUAGUCCUGGGAAACUGGGGGUAAUACCGUAUACGCCCUUUGGGGGAAAGAUUUAUCGGAGAAGGAUCGGCCCGCGUUGGAUUAGGUAGUUGGUGGGGUAAUGGCUCACCAAGCCGACGAUCCAUAGCUGGUUUGAGAGGAUGAUCAGCCACACUGGGACUGAGACACGGCCCAGACUCCUACGGGAGGCAGCAGUGGGGAAUCUUAGACAAUGGGGGCAACCCUGAUCUAGCCAUGCCGCGUGAGUGAUGAAGGCCUUAGGGUUGUAAAGCUCUUUCAGCUGUGAAGAUAAUGACGGUAGCAGCAGAAGAAGUCCCGGCUAACUCCGUG